GCUUUUACCAAGAUGGCCUCAGCUCCGGCCAGCUAUGGCAGCACUACCACUAAACCAAUGGGUCUUUUAUCACGAGUCAUGAAUACAGGAUCACAGUUUGUGAUGGAAGGAGUGAAGAACCUGGUUUUGAAACAGCAAGGGAAACAAGGCAAACACAUUUUAUAUGGCUGCAGUGAGCUUUUUAAUGCUACACAGUUCAUAAAACAGUUGUCACAACUUGGACAAAAGUAACACAGAAGAACCUUACUAUGAUAAUCUACUUGGAAUGUGGAUAAAUGUAAAAAGAAGAAAAGUUAGAAGAGCAAUAUGUUUCCUUCUCUGUAACAGUGUCCUAACAGUGAAAAUCAGAGUUAUUUGUUAAUUUUUAAGGAAAUUAUAUACUUAAUAUGUAUUGAUUAAAAGAAACAUUUCAGAAA
rnacentral:lncRNA from 1 species